rnacentral:rRNA from 1 species
GGGAAGGUGGGGGGGGCAGUGGAGGUAAUAGGGAGUAGCCAAGCGUGAUCCGGGAUCAGUGGGUUUAAAGGGUCCGGUGGCAGCCUUAUAAGUCAGCGGUGAAAGUUUUUGGCUUAACCAAAAAAUUGCCAUUGAUACUGUAGGGCUUGAAUAUUUGUGAAGUAACUAGAAUAUGUAGUGUAGCGGUGAAAUGCUUAGAUAUUACAUGGAAUACCAAUUGCGAAGGCAGGUUACUAACAAAUGAUUGACGCUGAUGGACGAAAGCGUGGGUAGCGAACAGGAUUAGAUACCCUUGUAGUC